UAAAGAAGAACAGCUCAGUGAGUAGAGCAUGAGGCUCUGAAUCUCAGGUUUGUGGGUUUGAGCCCCACAUUGGGCAAAA
rnacentral:tRNA from 1 species